rnacentral:rRNA from 1 species
GAGGAUUGAUAUUAUGUCUCUCCUUACAUUUCCAGGCCUAUGUUUCUUCAUAUACCCCAAUGUAUGUCAUAGAAUGUAAUCAAUGGCCUUUGUGCCUAUAAACCUAUACAACUUUCAGCAACGGAUCUCUUGGCUCUCGCAUCGAUGAAGAACGCAGCGAAAUGCGAUAAGUAAUGUGAAUUGCAGAAUUCAGUGAAUCAUCGAAUCUUUGAACGCACCUUGCGCUCCUUGGUAUUCCGAGGAGCAUGCCUGUUUGAGUGUCAUUAAUAUAUCAACCUCUUCAGCUUUUGCUUGUUGAGUGUUGGAUGUGGGGGUCUUUUUGCUGGUCUUCCUAGGUCAGCUCCCCUGAAAUGCAUUAGCGGAACAAUUUGUGGACCGUUCAUUGGUGUGAUAACUAUCUACGCUAUUGACGUGAAGCAGUUCAGCUUCUAACAGUCCAUUGACUUGGACAAAUUCUUCAUUAAUGUGACCUCAAAUCAGGUAGGACUACCCGCUGAACUUAAGCAUAUCAAUAAGCGGAGGAAAAGAAACUAACAAGGAUUCCC